rnacentral:rRNA from 1 species
UACCGGGACCCCAGGUCCCUACUCCCAUCCCAUGUUAACUUUUUACCGUUGCUUUGGCGGAUCGGUGGUCCGACUGCCGCCGGCCCUAGGCUGGAGAGCGUCCGCCAGAGGAUCUUUAAACGCUGUUUUAAACAUGCGCUCUGAGUACAACUUAAUUAGAAUCAAAACUUUCAACAACGGAUCUCUUGGUUCUGGCAUCGAUGAAGAACGCAGCGAAAUGCGAUAAGUAAUGUGAAUUGCAGAAUUCAGUGAAUCAUCGAAUCUUUGAACGCACAUUGCGCCCUUUGGUAUUCCGAGGGGCAUGCCUGUUCGAGCGUCAUUUAAACAAUCAAGCACAGCUUGGCCUUGGACCCGGGCCCGAGGGCGCCCGGUCCGAAACUCACAGAUGGCGUUCCCGUCGAGUCUUAAGCGUAGCAAAAGUUACCACCGCUUCAAAGACUCGGGCGGGAGCAGCCCUGAGAAAUUACCCCUAAAGUUUGACCUCGGAUCAGGUAGGGAUACCCGCUGAACUUAAGCAUAUCAAUAAGCGGAGGAAAAGAAACCAACAGGGAUUGCCUCAGUAACGGCGAGUGAAGCGGCAAUAGCUCAAAUUUGAAAUCUGGCUCACGCCCGAGUUGUAAUUUGCAGAGGUGGCUUCGGAGCCGCACCGGCCUAAGUUCCUUGGAACAGGACGUCACAGAGGGUGAGAAUCCCGUACGUGGCUAGGUGCCUAUCCAUGUGCAGCCCCUUCGACGAGUCGAGUUGUUUGGGAAUGCAGCUCUAAAUUGGAGGUAAAUUUCUUCUAAAGCUAAAUACCGGCCAGAGACCGAUAGCGCACAAGUAGAGUGAUCGAAAGAUGAAAAGCACUUUGAAAAGAGAGUUAAAAAGUACGUGAAAUUGUUGAAAGGGAAGCGUUUGUAGCCAGAGCUGACUUCAGUUGCUCAGCCGGUCUCUGCCCGGUGCACUCUUCUGUCGUCAGGCCAGCAUCAGUUCGGGCGGCCGGAUAAAGGCCUGGGGAAUGUGGCUCCUCGGAGUGUUAUAGCCCCUCGCACAAUGCGGCCUGCCUGGACUGAGGACAG